rnacentral:rRNA from 1 species
UACAGAGGGUGCAAGCGCUAAUCGGAAUUACUGGGCGUAAAGCGUGCGUAGACGGUUACGUAAGUCGGGUGUGAAAGCCCCGGGCUCAACCUGGGAAUUGCAUUCGAGACUGAAUAGCUAGGGUACGGUAGAGGGAAGUGGAAUUUCCGGUGUAGCGGUGAAAUGCGUAGAUAUCGGAAGGAACAUCAGUGGCGAAAGCGACUUCCUGGACCAGUACCGACGUUCAGGCACGAAAGCGUGGGGAGCAAACAGG